rnacentral:tRNA from 1 species
UACUGUAGAAUUUGGUGUAAGUUUGGUAGCACGAAGAUUUUUGAGUUCUUAGGAUUAGGUUCAAAUCCUAUAAUUCUAG